CCCCCCCCCAAAAAAACUAUUAAUGUCUGGUUGUUGUAAUUAUUUGUGAUUACUGCAGCUGCAACAGGUUAGUUAUUUUUUAAAAAGUUACACAUGUUGUAGCUACAAAAAUAAAACAUGCAUAUUUUCACCAUUUCUGCCACAUUUACCUGAACAUUCUUAUGAAAUUCACACCGCUAUGCCAAUAAACUUCCUAUUAAGUGCGCACAUUUUAUUCAAUUACAAGCUGUGAAAAAGAGCAGCUUUUCUGCUCCUGUGUCCCUCCUUCUGAGAGGUGGAGGCUGGUUGGAGAAGAUCGAAUGGAUCGGAAGUACCGUAGUUUGUGUGUAUGCUGAUAGGGGAGUUGGGGGUAGCUACAUAUUUACGUUCAGUGGGAGCCGCCCUUCAUUCACCCACAUGGUUACCAACUGCUCGCCUUCGCGCCACUUUCUUAACCCCGCAAUCAUCUUUAAAAAGCCUUUCUGAGCUAUAAAUUGGCUCACUGUCGCUCCGGAGUUCACUUAGUGUUUUGUUUUCGUCCAGCGGAGCAAAAGUUUCGGGGAGAGUUGCGUGUUUAUAUGGCUCUUUUGUCGGUGGGAGACUGCACGGCAGCCCAAGCAAGUGAGCGAAGAUGGUGGAUUUGGCUGGUGAGCGCAUGUUUAUCGGUCCACCAAGAUAUAGGAGACUCCUUGGAAAAUGCAUCCAUUGAUGGUUAUCCUAGUCCUGGAGGAGGAAGUGUUGUAAAUCUGUCUUUGUAUUGCCAAAGUGCUUACAGUGCAGGUAGUACUAUGUGAUACCUACUGCAGUGGAGGCACUUAAAGCAAUACCCAGACUCAGGAUCUCAGACUAUUUAUUUUUUACAUGUCUUUUGAGUUACUGUCUUUGUGCUAAGGUGCAUCUAGUGCAGAUAGUGAAAUAGACUAGCACCUACUGCCCUAAGUGCUCCUUCUGGCAUAAGGGGCUGUGAUGUGCACCACCAGAUCAUUUUUAAUUCCUAAUUGGGCCCAAACAUCUUGCAGUUCUCUGCUAGUUUUGCAUAGUUGCACUACAAGAAUAGAUGAGUUGUGCAAAUCUAUGCAAAACUGAUGGUGGCCUGCUUGCUCUACACCUGUUCUGAUUUUUUUGGGGUGUGUGUGGGGGGGUGUUGUUGUUGUUGAACUUAACCUGAAUGCAUAAAACAAAUGUUGAAAACAAGGAGCGUUUCACCCACUGACCACAGUUUCAGCAGUACUAAAGUGCUUAUAGUGCAGGUAGUGUUUUUCUCUAUCUACUGCAAUGUAAGCACUUGAAGUAUUUCUAACUGUAUCUGACUGGAGUCUGAGGUAAACAUUGAGGACAAAACCGUUAAUUGUCACUUGGUCAGUUUUGCUGGUUUGCAUUCAGCCUUAACAGAUGUGUGCUGUGCAAAUCCAUGCAAAACUGACUAGGUUGAUGGUGUUUGCUGCCAAGUUGAACUGCCUUUUUACUGAUUUGGUGGAUAAAUUGGGUGUUUCUGGGAGUUUCAUGAGAAGAUGUCCUGUCUAGUGCAGGUGGGGAUUUGUAGCAAUGCUGUGGUCCUGGAGGUAUUGCACUUGUCCCGGCCUGUACAGGAACAAGGAGAUGAGCUGACCACGAUCUUCACAUGAGCACAUUUCAUAACCGUUGCAUGCAUGUGCUGUAAAUAAAGUCUGUGCACUUAUUUGGAUUUAUUGUGUGUGUGUAUGUGAUCAUUUUGUUUGUAUUUUGAUCAUUAAAGUUGACUUUUACUUUAAAUUUCAGCCCAAGCUUUUUAUUUAUUUAUUUUUACUUGCACCUAAAACAUAAACAUUAGAAAAAGUUUGGUUUGGAAAAACAAGCAUUUGAGUAGAAUUUUGUACAUCUGACAAUUUAUAUUAUCCGUAGGCCUAUAGGCAUUUUUUGGUAAGUUUAAAAUAUGACUUCUUACCAUUUUGUCUAUUCAUUGUGAUCUAGUUUACGGAGGGUGUAAUCUGGAGGGCUGUGUAGGAGACAGAAAUAUUGGGAAUACAUGUAGAUGGUAUUUAAGUCUAAAAUGGUCAGAUAGGGUACUUUACCUGGCAAUCUUGUGUUUGUUUAUAUAUGAAAAAAAGUCCAAGUAAUUCUGGUUAAUUAAAUAUUUAGCUAAAUAAAAAUUCCCUUUAUUUUGGCUGGUCCACAGCAACAACUGGUA
ensembl:lncRNA